rnacentral:rRNA from 1 species
CAGGAUGAACGCUAGCUACAGGCUUAACACAUGCAAGUCGAGGGGCAUCAGGAAGAAAGCUUGCUUUCUUUGCUGGCGACCGGCGCACGGGUGAGUAACACGUAUCCAACCUGCCCUUUACUCGGGGAUAGCCUUUCGAAAGAAAGAUUAAUACCCGAUGGCAUAAUGAUUCCGCAUGGUUUCAUUAUUAAAGGAUUCCGGUAAAGGAUGGGGAUGCGUUCCAUUAGGUUGUUGGUGAGGUAACGGCUCACCAAGCCUUCGAUGGAUAGGGGUUCUGAGAGGAAGGUCCCCCACAUUGGAACUGAGACACGGUCCAAACUCCUACGGGAGGCAGCAGUGAGGAAUAUUGGUCAAUGGGCGCUAGCCUGAACCAGCCAAGUAGCGUGAAGGAUGAAGGCUCUAUGGGUCGUAAACUUCUUUUAUAUAAGAAUAAAGUGCAGUAUGUAUACUGUUUUGUAUGUAUUAUAUGAAUAAGGAUCGGCUAACUCCGUGCCAGCAGCCGCGGUAAUACGGAGGAUCCGAGCGUUAUCCGGAUUUAUUGGGUUUAAAGGGAGCGUAGGUGGACUGGUAAGUCAGUUGUGAAAGUUUGCGGCUCAACCGUAAAAUUGCAGUUGAUACUGUCAGUCUUGAGUACAGUAGAGGUGGGCGGAAUUCGUGGUGUAGCGGUGAAAUGCUUAGAUAUCACGAAGAACUCCGAUUGCGAAGGCAGCUCACUGGCCUGCAACUGACACUGAUGCUCGAAAGUGUGGGUAUCAAACAGGAUUAGAUACCCUGGUAGUCCACACAGUAAACGAUGAAUACUCGCUGUUUGCGAUAUACAGUAAGCGGCCAAGCGAAAGCAUUAAGUAUUCCACCUGGGGAGUACGCCGGCAACGGUGAAACUCAAAGGAAUUGACGGGGGCCCGCACAAGCGGAGGAACAUGUGGUUUAAUUCGAUGAUACGCGAGGAACCUUACCCGGGCUUAAAUUGCAGUGGAAUGAUGUGGAAACAUGUCAGUGAGCAAUCACCGCUGUGAAGGUGCUGCAUGGUUGUCGUCAGCUCGUGCCGUGAGGUGUCGGCUUAAGUGCCAUAACGAGCGCAACCCUUAUCUUUAGUUACUAACAGGUUAUGCUGAGGACUCUAGAGAGACUGCCGUCGUAAGAUGUGAGGAAGGUGGGGAUGACGUCAAAUCAGCACGGCCCUUACGUCCGGGGCUACACACGUGUUACAAUGGGGGGUACAGAAGGCAGCUAGCGGGUGACCGUAUGCUAAUCCCAAAAGCCUCUCUCAGUUCGGAUCGAAGUCUGCAACCCGACUUCGUGAAGCUGGAUUCGCUAGUAAUCGCGCAUCAGCCACGGCGCGGUGAAUACGUUCCCGGGCCUUGUACACACCGCCCGUCAAGCCAUGGGAGCCGGGGGUACCUGAAGUACGUAACCGCAAGGAUCGUCCUAGGGUAAAACUGGUGACUGGGGC